CCCUGCUGCUGUCUCUUGUCCUGUAAAGGACCCUGGAAGAGGGAGUGGUCCAUCCUAGCUGCCAACAAGGGCAUUUUUUUUUUUUUUUUAAAGAAUUAACGUUUGAUAAGUAUGCCUAGGCGAUACAAGGGAUGUGAACGACUUUCAGAGAGAUUGUGAAUAUUAUUUGGUGUAUACUAAAAAGCUGGAAAUCCCUAAAUAUAUGCAGUAAGGAUAGAAAGCAAGUUUCUUGAAGAGUCACCUGCUAAACUCUACUAGCGUCUUCUCUACAGUUGAAAUGUCCAGUGUGGUGGAAGUAUAACAUCAAACCAUGCUGAUGAAGCCAAUAGCUGUGGAAAUGAUGGAGCAUGAAAUAAAAAAAACAAAUCCCUGGGGGG